AGUGAACGCUGGCGGUAGGCCUAACACAUGCAAGUCGAACGGCAGCACAGUAAGAGCUUGCUCUUACGGGUGGCGAGUGGCGGACGGGUGAGGAAUACAUCGGAAUCUACUUUUUCGUGGGGGAUAACGUAGGCAAACUUACGCUAAUACCGCAUACGACCUACGGGUGAAAGCAGGGGAUCCUCGGACCUUGCGCGAUUGAAUGAGCCGAUGUCGGAUUAGCUAGUUGGCGGGGUAAAGGCCCACCAAGGCGACGAUCCGUAGCUGGUCUGAGAGGAUGAUCAGCCACACUGGAACUGAGACACGGUCCAGACUCCUACGGGAGGCAGCAGUGGGGAAUAUUGGACAAUGGGCGCAAGCCUGAUCCAGCCAUACCGCGUGGGUGAAGAAGGCCUUCGGGUUGUAAAGCCCUUUUGUUGGGAAAGAAAAGCAGCAGGUUAAUACCCCGCUGUUCUGACGGUACCCAAAGAAUAAGCACCGGCUAACUUCGUG
rnacentral:rRNA from 1 species